ACAGGCUUGGUCCUGACCUUAAUAUUAGCUACAACUACAAUUAUACAUGCAAGCCUCAACACCCCAGUGAGUAACGCCCAACAUUUCCAACUAGUAAUGAAGGAGCUGGUAUCAGGCACAUCAGCCCAAAACACCUUGCUAAACCACACCUACACAGGAAAUCAGCAGUAAUAAACAUUGAACAAUGAGCAAAAGCUCGAUUCAGUAAUAGUUAUUAAAGUCGGUAAAUCUCGUGCCAGCCACCGCGGUUAUACGAGAGACUUAAGUUAAAAAUGCGCGGCCCAAAGAACAGCUAAAGAAAUACACCUAGGAUUAAUAGACUUUAAAGCUGUUAUACGCUUAAGAAGAGCUAAAAACCGUACACUCCUAUCUUCCUUGAAUCUGUGUAAGCCCGGAAACACACUGGGAUUAGAUACCCCACUAUGCCAGGCCAUAAACUUCGGACUAACCCGCCAGAGCACUACGAGCCACAGCUUAAAACUCAAAGGACUUGGCGGUACCCUACACCCACCUAGAGGAGCCUGUUCUAUAAUUGAUAACCCCCAAUAAACCUCACCGCCUCUUGUAAUACAGCCUAUAUACCACCGUCACAAGCCCACCUUGUCAAGGAAUAAUAGUAGGCUAAAUAAUUUAAAAUAAAAAAGUCAGGUCAAGGUGUAGCAUAUGAGCCGGAAAGAAAUGGGCUACAUUUUCUUUAAAGAAAAUACGGAAUAUUUCAUGAAAUAAGAUACUAAGGAGGAUUUAGCAGUAAAAAGAAAAUAGAGAGUUCUUUUAAAAUAGGCAAUAAGGUGAGCACACACCGCCCGUCACCCUCUUCAUAUAAAAUAAUAAAUAAAUAAUAUUACUAGAACUUCAGAAGAGGAAAGUCGUAACAUGGUAAGUCUACCGGAAGGUGGCCUUGGAA
rnacentral:ncRNA from 1 species